rnacentral:lncRNA from 10 species
UGUUGAAUAUCUGCCAUUUCCUUUCAGCUGGUAGGAGCUUCUGACGGAACCAGCCCCAGAUUCUUUCCCCUGGCAGUCCCCAUGACAAAGCCACUGAGCUAGAUCAUCAUUGAUAGAACCCUAGUGCUUGUAGUGACUUGGUGGCAGCCAUUGCGUUAAUACAGACCAACACCUUCUCUAAGCCAAGCUGCCAUCUGAUGAAUGAAAUACCCAGAGAGCUGAACAUAUACAGAAGGAAAAUGGAGCCUUGCCUCAACCUACAAAAACAUCUGCUGUCUAUAUAGGGCUUCGGGAAUUCAGUGACAAACUCCAACAGCACAACUGUAUUUGAGCGUAUGGAUUCAUAGAUCCAUACCCUCACCAAAGUUUAUUGUCUCUGACCUGUACAUUUGUGUGAUAACCAUAACUUCUUCCAUCAUGUUCCCCAGAAGCAUAGAUUGCCCAUAUAUGGGCAGUCCCAAGGAGGCCAAAAUAGUUCCGUGUACAUUGUAUUAGUUUACUAGGGCUACUGUAACAAAUUACAUACAACAACCUGGGUGGCUUAAAUAAUAGAUACUCAUUUUCUCACAAUUCUGGAGGGUAGAAGUCUGAGAUCAAAGUGUCAGUCAGCAGGUUUGGUUUCUUCUGAGGCCUCUCCCAUUGAUUUGUAGAUGGCCACCUUCUCCCUAUGUUCUCACGUGGUUGGUUAUCUUUUGGUUUGUGUGAGUCUGUGUCCCAAUGUCCUCUUAAAGGAUACCAGUUAUAUUGGAGUAGGGCCUGCCCAUAUGGCCUCAUUGUACUUUACCUCUUUAAAAGCUCUAUUCCCAAAUACAGUCAGAUUUUGAGGUACUGUGGACUAGGGCUUUGGAUUUGUCAGGGUUCUCCAGAGAGACAGAACAGGUAGGAUAGAUAAAUAAGUAGGUAGGUAGGUAGAUAUAAU